AAAAGAGGCGCGCUCAAUGCAGUCGAGCGGACAGAUGGGAGCUUGCUCCCUGAUGUUAGCGGCGGACGGGUGAGUAACACGUGGGUAACCUGCCUGUAAGACUGGGAUAACUCCGGGAAACCGGGGCUAAUACCGGAUGGUUGUUUGAACCGCAUGGUUCAAACAUAAAAGGUGGCUUCGGCUACCACUUGNAGAUGGACCCGCGGCGCAUUAGCUAGUUGGUGAGGUAANGGCUCACCAAGGCAACGAUGCGUAGCCGACCUGAGAGGGUGAUCGGCCACACUGGGACUGAGACACGGCCCAGACUCCUACGGGAGGCAGCAGUAGGGAAUCUUCCGCAAUGGACGAAAGUCUGACGGAGCAACGCCGCGUGAGUGAUGAAGGUUUUCGGAUCGUAAAGCUCUGUUGUUAGGGAAAAACAAGGAACCGGAAAA
rnacentral:rRNA from 1 species